UGCCCGGGAGGACACGGGCGGAAUAUUAAUAUAUAUUGCCAAUUCUCCCACCCAAAGUUCGUCCCUUUCUUUUUUGGGUAAAGUCUCCUCCUUUUCUUGGCCGCCGCGGAAGCCUCACGUUUUCCCCCUCUCCUUCGAUCCAUCGAAGUGCGGCUGUGGAGCUCGGGGUUUACGAUUCUGGGAGAAGGAGGAGGAGGAAGGGUGGGAGAGAAACAGAGGAGGAUUCGGUGCCCCCCGAUGGAUGAGGGCUUGUUGGACGAUAUCAUAACGCGGCUUCUUGCGGUGAAGAGCGGGAGGGGGGCGACGAAGACGGUACAGCUGACCGAGGCGGAGAUCCGGCAGCUCUGCGUCUCCUCCAAGGGGAUCUUCCUCAGCCAGCCUAAUCUUUUGGAGCUCGAGGCGCCGAUCAAGAUUUGCGGAGAUAUUCAUGGUCAGUAUUCUGAUCUUCUCCGGUUGUUUGAGUAUGGUGGCUUUCCGCCAGCUGCAAACUAUCUAUUUCUUGGGGACUAUGUUGAUCGGGGCAAACAGAGCAUAGAGACCAUAUGUCUCCUCCUUGCAUAUAAGAUAAAGUACAGAGAAAACUUCUUUCUUCUGAGGGGCAACCAUGAGUGUGCUUCCAUUAAUCGUAUCUAUGGGUUUUAUGAUGAGUGCAAGAGAAGGUUUAAUGUUCGGCUAUGGAAAGUUUUUACUGAUUGUUUCAACUGCCUUCCAGUGGCUGCGCUUAUUGAUGAAAAGAUACUCUGCAUGCAUGGGGGGUUGUCACCUGACUUGAAAAACUUGGAUCAGAUCCGAAAUAUUGCUAGACCAGUGGAUGUACCAGACCAAGGCCUCCUUUGUGAUCUGUUAUGGGCUGACCCUGACAAAGAUAUUGAAGGCUGGGGUGAAAAUGAUAGAGGUGUCUCCUAUACUUUUGGGCCUGACAGAGUCUCUGAGUUCCUUCAGAAGCAAGACUUGGACCUCAUCUGUCGAGCUCACCAGGUUGUGGAAGAUGGUUAUGAGUUUUUUGCAAAACGCCAGCUGGUGACUCUGUUUUCUGCACCAAACUAUUGUGGGGAGUUUGACAAUGCUGGUGCCAUGAUGAGUGUAGAUGAUACUUUGACCUGUUCUUUCCAGAUCUUGAAACCAUUAGAUAAGAAAGGAAGAUUUGGAUUUGGAAACAACUUAUUGAAACCAGGGACUCCUCCUAGAAAGUUACAGAGGAGAAAUUUGGCAAAAUUUUGUUGACAACUAAAGUUCUAGGCAUAUCAUUUUGGCUUCUGCUGGGACUAGUAAUGUUCUACCUCCUAUCUUGCAUCUGCCAAUGACAAGCUUGUUUCUAAGAAAUCAAUGCCCUCACUUCAAUUUCUUGGAAUGAUGCUUCCCUGCCAUUGUGCCCAAAUCUGCUCCAGCUUUCGCUUUUGGCUUCUAGGGUUUUAAUGGAAUCUAGCUGUUUAGUAAAGAAAUAUCAUUGUUGACCUUUACAGUGCCGUAGCAAGGGUGGAAAAGGUUAAGAGAUGAGGCAUGCUUCCUCUUGUAGACGUAUGUUGGAAAAUGCAGGAGACCGUAUUCAGCUCUUUGGAAUUCCUAUACGGUGGACAAUUUAGUGCUUUGCCCCAUAAGAGACAAAAAUGCACCUUGUUUCAAUUAAAGAGGCAGAGGACUUUUCUUGGCAACUAGCCAAACUUCUGGGUUGAAAGUGUGAAAAUUAAAGCUUGUUUAUUGUUAUCAUCAAAUUGUAUGGUAUAUAUGAUUUCAUUGUUUGCACCACGUGUGCUCUAGAUUACACCAAUUGGACACUUUGGUUUCUGAUAUUGUGGGAUGCGCUUCUAUCAUCACACCUUUUUCCAUGAUGCAUGGGCUAGGGGCCUAGACUGUGAUGGCUUUGAAUGAAUGCAACUUCGACAAGCAAUGAUCUCAGCAAUUUAAAUUACUGGUAAUGCCAGAAAGAAGUCAAAAAGAAUCCAGAUGGCACCACAAAUAAAAACGCUAUGUACUCAGCAUAGCCUUCAUGGCAGCUCGUUUCGAUUACCGCUUGCAAGCGCCCAGCAACCCUGAGGUUACCUGUCUUUCCAUCCAUUCUGGAAUAGUUUUGUGCAGACCAUGCAAUGGUGUCAUUCAAUUCACUUAUUCUGGAACAAAUUCUGUGAACAGGAUGUCAUGUUGUUCAGUUCACUUGGAUGCAUGUACUUACAGCUGAUGGCCUGUAUGUGUGACUAUGCCCAUCAUGUGGCUUUUCUGGUGUUCAUGCAGUUCAUUCCCAGCUUGAUUAUCAGAGAAGAGUCCUGUCAAGUCCUCGGUGUGGAAUGGAAGAACAUCAGAAAUCUGAUUCUUACUGAAGCAAUGGUUUGUCAGACAUCUGAUCCACAUUGUAGACACAGAUAUCUUGCAAUGCUUACCACCUCACAAAAUGUUAGCCUCUAGUGAUGCUUUUAGGAGUCUGUCAGUGCGCAAAGUGCCUCAUGGUCAUAUUGUUGCUGGGUUGGCAAAUCAAUGUUCAUAUAUGCUUGUGUAUUAUGCUAAUUUUUACGAGCUGACUCAUUUCCUUAUGCCCUUGCAUGGCUCUUACAAAGCAUAAAAUUGG